AGCUGGCUGGUACCAUGAGGUGACUUCUGCCCAGUGCUCUGAUUGUCAUGGAGAAGAGAUUCAUCCAAGCGCGGGUAAACGGCGGGAGUAACUAUGACUCUCUUAAGGUAGCCAAAUGCCUCGUCAACCAAUUAUUGACGCGCAUGAAUGGAUCAACGAGAUUCCUGCUGUCCCUAGGUGCUGUCCGGUGAACCAACAGCCAAGGGAACGGGCUUGGGCGUGUCAGCGGGGAAAGAAGACCCUGUUGAGUUUGACUCUAGUUUGAUGCUGUGCAACGACAUGUGGGGUGUAGCAUAGGUGGGAGGCCAGUGCCAUCGACACCCACCACCCAGUGUGUGGAGAGCAAAGCAGUUGUAGCGGAGCCUAUCCUGUGGUUAUGGUGCAAACCAGCAAUGAAAUACCACUACCUUCACCGUCGUUUUACUCAUCGAGUGGCUUGGGAACAGCGGCCAUUGGACAUCAGCCCUUGCAUUCCUGUGGGGGUUGCGGCCUCAUCCUGCUUCGUGUACAAAGCGUAGCCGGCUUGCCGGAUGCGUGAUCCUGUGGGGUUCCACCCCCACUCCUAUCGAUGCCUCGGGACAAUGAUCAGUUGGGGAGUUUGGCUGGGGCGGCACGCCUGUUACAGGACAACGCAGGCGUCCUGAAGCAUUGCUCAGAUGGAACAGAAAUCUUGCAUGGAGGAGCAGGCCAAAGGUGCUGCUGAUGCUGCGACUUCCAGUACAAGUCCAAAACGUGCAAGUGUGGCCUUGCGAUCCUUUGGUCAAGCAUUCGGGUUCUGGAUAUUGAAGCCAGAGGUGUCAGAAAAAUUACCACAGGGAUAACUGGCUUGUGGCUGCCAAGCGUUCAAAGCGACGUCGCUUUUUGAUCCUUCGAUGUCGGCUCUUCCUAGCUUCCCACCCGCAGCCGAGUGGAAGAGUUGGAUUGUUCACCCACCAACAGGGAACGUGAGCUGG
rnacentral:rRNA from 1 species